AUACGUAGGGGGCGAGCGUUGUCCGGAAUGAUUGGGCGUAAAGGGCGCGUAGGCGGCCCGGUAAGUCUGGAGUGAAAGUCCUGUUUUUAAGAUGGGAAUUGCUUUGGAUACUGUCGGGCUUGAGUGCAGGAGAGGUAAGUGGAAUUCCCAGUGUAGCGGUGAAAUGGGUAGAGAUUGGGAGGAACACCAGUGGCGAAGGCGACUUACUGGGCUGUAACUGACGCUGAUGCGCGAAAGUGUGGGGAGCAAACAGGAUUAUAUACCCUGGUAGUCCACACUGUAAACGAUGAAUGCUAGGUGUAGGGGGUAUCGACCCCUUCUGUGCCGCAGUCAACACAAUAAGCAUUCCGCCUGGGGAGUACGGCCGCAAGGUUGAAACUCAAAUGAAUUGACGGGG
rnacentral:rRNA from 1 species